AUUGAACGCUGGCGGAAUGCUUUACACAUGCAAGUCGAACGGCAGCACGGGGGCAGCCCUGGUGGCGAGUGGCGAACGGGUGAGUAAUACAUCGGAACGUGCCCGGUCGUGGGGGAUAACGUAGCGAAAGUUACGCUAAUACCGCAUACGAUCUGAGGAUGAAAGCGGGGGACCUUCGGGCCUCGCGCGAUCGGAGCGGCCGAUGUCAGAUUAGGUAGUUGGUGGGGUAAAGGCCUACCAAGCCGACGAUCUGUAGCUGGUCUGAGAGGACGACCAGCCACACUGGGACUGAGACACGGCCCAGACUCCUACGGGAGGCAGCAGUGGGGAAUUUUGGACAAUGGGCGCAAGCCUGAUCCAGCCAUUCCGCGUGGAGGACGAAGGCCUUCGGGUUGUAAACUGCUUUUGUACGGAACGAAAAGGCUCUGGCUAAUACCUGGGGCUCAUGACGGUACCGUAAGAAUAAGCACCGGCUAACUACGUG
rnacentral:rRNA from 1 species